AUUGAACGCUGGCGGCAGGCCUAACACAUGCCAGUCGAGCGGAUGAAGGGAGCUUGCUCCUGGAUUCAGCGGCGGACGGGUGAGUAAUGCCUAGGAAUCUGCCUGGUAGUGGGGGAUAACGUCCGGAAACGGGCGCUAAUACCGCAUACGUCCUGAGGGAGAAAGUGGGGGAUCUUCGGACCUCACGCUAUCAGAUGAGCCUAGGUCGGAUUAGCUAGUUGGUGGGGUAAAGGCCUACCAAGGCGACGAUCCGUAACUGGUCUGAGAGGAUGAUCAGUCACACUGGAACUGAGACACGGUCCAGACUCCUACGGGAGGCAGCAGUGGGGAAUAUUGGACAAUGGGCGAAAGCCUGAUCCAGCCAUGCCGCGUGUGUGAAGAAGGUCUUCGGAUUGCAAAGCACUUUAAGUUGGGAGGAAGGGCAGUAAGUUAAUACCUUGCUGUUUUGACGUUACCAACAGAAUAAGCACCGGCUAACUUCGUG
rnacentral:rRNA from 1 species